ACCAUCCCAACAGACCCUGGAACCAAAAACAGAAGAGGCAGAUAAAACAAGGCUGGAUCUGUCCAUUCAACUGUACUAUGUGAGAAAGACCUUGGGAGACAAAGGAGUAUACAGUGUGAUUUGCCAGUCCUGCUUUCUUCUUCCCAUAAUCCUAUCUGCCAUCUUCAAAUUGCUGCCUUCCCGGAGUCUGUCUUCGGGUGUUUUUUGUUUUAUUUUAUCAUUCCAAAAUAAACUUUCACUUUGCUUCAACAA